UACGAGGGGGGCAAGCGUUUGUUCGGAAUUAUUGGGCGUAAAGGGCGCGUAGGCGGCGCGGUAUGUCUCUUGUGAAAUCUCCAGGCUCAACUUGGAGUCUGCAAGGGAAACUGCCGUGCUUGAGUACUGGAGAGGUGAGUGGAAUUCCCGGUGUAGCGGUGAAAUGACGUAGAUAUCGGGAGGAACACCUGUGGCGAAAGCGGCUCACUGGACAGUAACUGACGCUGAUGCGCGAAAGCUAGGGAGCAAACAGG
rnacentral:rRNA from 1 species